rnacentral:rRNA from 1 species
AGCAGCCGCGGUAAUUCCAGCUCCAAUAGCGUAUAUUAAAGUUGUUGCAGUUAAAAAGCUCGUAGUUGAAUUUUAGGCCUGGCCAGGCGGUCCGUCUUUGGCGAGUACUGUCUUGUUGUCGGGUCUUCCUUCUGGUGAACCAGUAUGCCCUUUAUUGGGUGUGUUGGGGAGCCAGGACCAUUACCUUGAAAAAAUUUAGAGUGUUUAAAGCGGGCUAUUGCUUGAAUAGAUUAGCAUGGAAUAAUAGAAUAGGACGUUGUGGUUCUAUUUUGUUGGUUUCUAGGACCACCGUAAUGAUUAAUAGGGAUAGUUGGGGGCAUUAGUAUUCAAUUGUCAGAGGUGAAAUUCUUGGAUUUAUUGAAGACUAACUAUUGCGAAAGCAUUUGCCAAGGAUGUUUUCAUUAAUCAAGAACGAAAGUUAGGGGAUCGAAGACGAUCAGAUACCGUCGUAGUCUUAACCAUAAACUAUGCCGACUAGGAAUCGGGCGACGUUAUUUUCAUGACUCGCUCGGCGCCUUAU